CUUAGCGGCCUUACCUGACUGUCAAUGUCCAAUCUGGUCAAAUCUCAUAAAGGGGUGGGCCUGGUUAGUACUUGGAUGGGAGACCGCUGGGAAUAUGAGGUGCCACAGUGG
rnacentral:rRNA from 1 species